UGUUUUAUAUCUUAUUUCUUUGUUUUUUUCUUCUUGGGUUUGUUUGAAUAUAUUAGAAAAGAGGAUAAAAAAAGAGCAAUAGGAUCUUUCUCUUUCUGUCUCCUUGUAUCAUCCUUGAAUCCAAGAGAGAGCGAGAGAGUCUCUGCAAAAGAGAAAAAGAAAAAAAAGAGCUUCUUUGACUCUCUCCAAUUAUCUCUUUAAAUUCAUAGUUCUGCGUUGGUCUUUUCACAUUCUUCCAGCUCUUGCAUUUACUUAAUUGAAGCUCAUUUGGUUAUCCCUUAGAUUCUCCUAUCAGUAUCCAAAUAUUCAGAACUACCUGGUUUUUGGUAGAAAUUGAAGUUUGAGAGAGACGCGUCCAUCCAUGGGUAAUUGCUGUGUGACUCCAGCUUCGAGCUCUUCAUCUGACAAGAAGAAGAAGAAAGCCAAAGGGGAAAACAAGCAGCAAAAUCCAUUCUUUGGCAAUGAUUAUGUUGUGAAGAAUGGAUCUGGACCUAUAGACAAGCUCUUGGUUUUGAAAGAACCUACUGGCCGUGAUAUCUCCGCACAUUAUGAUCUGGGUCUUGAGCUUGGCCGGGGUGAAUUUGGGAUUACAUACUUGUGCUCUGAUGUAAGCAAUGGUGAAAAGCUUGCUUGUAAAUCUAUAUCCAAGAAGAAGCUAAGAACUGCAGUGGAUAUCGAGGAUGUGAGGAGGGAGGUUGAGAUAAUGAAGCAUUUGCCUAACCACCCAAAUGUUGUCUCUUUGAAGAGUACUUAUGAGGAUGAUAGUGCUGUGCACAUUGUGAUGGAAUUAUGUGAGGGAGGGGAGUUGUUUGAUAGGAUUGUGGCACGGGGGCAUUACACUGAAAGGGCUGCUGCUGCGGUUAUGCGGACUAUUGUGGAAGUUGUUCAGAUGUGCCAUAAACAUGGAGUUAUGCAUCGUGAUCUCAAACCAGAGAACUUUCUAUUUGCAAAUAAGAAGGAAACUGCCCCCUUAAAAGCAAUUGAUUUUGGAUUGUCAGUCUCCUUUAAACCUGGUGAGAGAUUUAAUGAGAUAGUGGGUAGUCCUUAUUACAUGGCCCCAGAGGUUCUAAAACGCAAUUAUGGCCCUGAAGUUGAUGUCUGGAGUGCUGGAGUUAUUCUAUAUAUUUUACUUUGUGGUGUCCCACCUUUCUGGGCAGAAACUGAGCAAGGGGUAGCGCACGCAAUUAUUCGCUCUGUCAUUGAU
rnacentral:misc_RNA from 1 species